GACCAGAAAAGACGUACGCUGACUGCUCUGGGAAUUGCUGAGAAAACUCUCUCGGCCUGCUCUUCCUGCGCAAAGAAAGCAGCAUUUCUCAAUCGGCUGACAGCCGCCACCGAGAGAGAGAAAACAGUCAUUUUAACCAAUAACUAUACACAUCUUUGGGGGAAAAGUUCUUGGACAGACACAAGUCAAACACAAUCCCGAGACGCUUGUGGCAAAAUAGAGGGAAAAAAAUACAUCUGAAUGAAUGUUCCUCAUGCCUCAAUAGGACUGGCUACCAUGCUGUUAGGUGUAUCUGGGAGCUGAGAGG